rnacentral:lncRNA from 1 species
GGCUGAAAAGCAGAAUUGCCUUCCUCGCGCUGUUUAUGUCUACCAGACACACACUACUUGCUUUUUCAUUUGGAUUCAUUUUCUGCGCUGUCCUGAGAGAAAGGAGCGAAGCAAUUUUCUAUUUACUGCAAAAUUCCAACCUGGCUCCCCGGAGUCUUUGGGUGAUUUUCACCCUUGGAGCCUGCCAGCAGAAGGACUUGGUGUUUUUUUUUUUUCCCCAGCCACACGUGGAAGCAGUUGGUUUGGGUCCUUUGUAUUCUGUGGAUUAUAAAAGCUCUCUCCUGUAAGGAGCCUGGAAAAGGAAGCACACUAAUUAUUAUUAACUCUGCCAAAGCCAAUAAUAUCCUUGGGUAAUUAUUGGUUUACCCAAUUUUCCUGUGAGCCUACUGUGUAAAUACACCGUUGUGAAGAGGCUAUUACUUCCUCCACGCUCCACCUCGCCGUAGCACUGAUGGUUUGGGGCUGGUGAUGUGCCCGUCGUGAUCAGGGCUGUUAAUUUUGGCGGGCAAUCACCACCAGUAAUCAAACACAAAAUAGGAAACGGCCCAAAUCGAUGAGCUCCCUCCACCCUCCCAGUCCUCCCCCUUCUCUCCUCCCCAGCCUUCCCAAAGACCCCCAGCUGGGGCCGUUUGCCACCCCCGGGUGAAAUCCAGCAGGAGGGUCCCCAGGGACCACGGCCACCCCUCCAAGGCUUCCCGGGCUGGGACAGCAUCACGGCAGGGACUGUCCCACUGACUCCAGGUCCGUCCCUAAGCGGGACUUCCCCGGCCCCGGCGGGGCGCAGGGCGGGCAGGCAGCCGGCGGGGAGGAAGCGUGUCUCCCGGCAGGAGACCCCCGCCGCUCCCCCUUUCAUCACCGCUCAUUUAUUUGGAUUAGAGUCAGCUCUCUCCUGGAUCCUUUGUUCGCUGUUUGUUAUUCCACAUGCACCCGGCGCUGCGCGUUCAUCUUUAUUAGCUCUAAUUGCUUCCCCGUUCUAAUGGGAUCUCACUAUUCGCGUACAAUUGAAAGGAAAUGUAUUCAUUAAAAUAAUUCUCCUCCUAACUGUUGUUUGGGGCUGGUGCUGUCAGUGCCGCUCGCUGUGGUUUUCUCCCCGCCCGCUGCCGAACGCCGGACGGGACCGGGACACCGGCAAAGCCUCGUUAAUGAUUUGGUGUUAAUGUGAACUGUGGGCUGGGGUCAGUUUGGGCGAUGUUUGUUGUUGGAGGAAAAGGUCCCAAAGCCACCCCUGCUCGUGGUGCUAAGUGUGGGGAGCACGUGAAGGGGUGCCACGUGUGUGCCCCCUUCCAC